rnacentral:rRNA from 1 species
AGAGUUUGAUCAUGGCUCAGAGCGAACGCUGGCGGAAUGCUUAACACAUGCAAGUCGCACGGGGGCUUCGGCUCUAGUGGCGGACGGGUGAGUAACGCGUAGGAACGUGUCCUGGGAUGGGGGAUAACGCUGGGAAACUGGCGCUAAUACCGCAUGUCUGCUGAGGCAGAAAGCCUUUGGGUGUCUUGGGAGCGGCCUGCGUCCGAUUAGCUAGUUGGUGGGGUAAAGGCUUACCAAGGCGACGAUCGGUAGCUGGUCUGAGAGGACGAUCAGCCACACUGGGACUGAGACACGGCCCAGACUCCUACGGGAGGCAGCAGUGGGGAAUAUUGGACAAUGGGCGGAAGCCUGAUCCAGCAAUUCCGCGUGGGUGAAGAAGGUCUUCGGAUUGUAAAGCCCUUUCGGCGGGGACGAUGAUGACGGUACCCGCAGAAGAAGCCCCGGCUAACUUCGUGCCAGCAGCCGCGGUAAUACGAAGGGGGCUAGCGUUGCUCGGAAUUACUGGGCGUAAAGGGCGCGUAGGCGGCGCAGUUAGUCAGGCGUGAAAUUCCUGGGCUUAACCUGGGGACUGCGCUUGAUACGGCUGUGCUAGAGGGUGGAAGAGGCUCGCGGAAUUCCCAGUGUAGAGGUGAAAUUCGUAGAUAUUGGGAAGAACACCGGUGGCGAAGGCGGCGAGCUGGUCCAUUACUGACGCUGAGGCGCGACAGCGUGGGGAGCAAACAGGAUUAGAUACCCUAGUAGUCC